GACGAACGCUGGCGGCGUGCUUAACACAUGCAAGUCGAACGAUGACCAGGAGCUUGCUCCUGUGAUUAGUGGCGAACGGGUGAGUAACACGUGAGUAACCUGCCCCUGACUCUGGGAUAAGCGUUGGAAACGACGUCUAAUACUGGAUAUGAUCACUGGCCGCAUGGUCUGGUGGUGGAAAGAUUUUUUGGUUGGGGAUGGACUCGCGGCCUAUCAGCUUGUUGGUGAGGUAAUGGCUCACCAAGGCGACGACGGGUAGCCGGCCUGAGAGGGUGACCGGCCACACUGGGACUGAGACACGGCCCAGACUCCUACGGGAGGCAGCAGUGGGGAAUAUUGCACAAUGGGCGCAAGCCUGAUUCAGCAACGCCGCGUGAGGGAUGACGGCCUUCGGGUUGUAAACCUCUUUUAGUAGGGAAGAAGCGAAAGUGACGGUACCUGCAGAAAAAGCACCGGCUAACUACGUGCCAGCCGCCGCCGUAAGAC
rnacentral:rRNA from 1 species